rnacentral:rRNA from 1 species
UCGGCUUAGAGUUUGAUCAUGGCUCAGAUUGAACGCUGGCGGCAGGCUUAACACAUGCAAGUCGAACGGUAAAGUAGCUUGCUACUUACGAGUGGCGGACGGGUGAGUAACGUAUGGGAAUUUACCGAAUGGAGGGGGACAACAGUUGGAAACGGCUGCUAAUACCGCAUAACGUCGAGAGACCAAGGGGUUUCGACUUGCCAUUUGAUGAGCCCAUAUGAGAUUAGCUAGUUGGUGUGGUAAUGGCUCACCAAGGCGACGAUCUCUAGCUGGUUUGAGAGGAUGACCAGCCACACUGGGACUGAGACACGGCCCAGACUCCUACGGGAGGCAGCAGUGGGGAAUAUUGCACAAUGGGGGGAACCCUGAUGCAGCCAUGCCGCGUGUAUGAAGAAGGCCUUAGGGUUGUAAAGUACUUUCGUGGAGGAGGAAGGGUUUACGUAAUCGUGGACAUUGACGUUACUCCAAGAAGAAGCACCGGCUAACUCCGUGCCAGCAGCCGCGGUAAUACGGAGGGUGCGAGCGUUAAUCGGAAUGACUGGGCGUAAGG